UUGCACCGAGAUUCAACAUGGAACGAGUGGCGGACGGGUGAGUAACACGUGGGUAACCUGCCCUUAAGUGGGGGAUAACAUUUGGAAACAGAUGCUAAUACCGCAUAGAUCCAAGAACCGCAUGGUUCUUGGCUGAAAGAUGGCGUAAGCUAUCGCUUUUGGAUGGACCCGCGGCGUAUUAGCUAGUUGGUGAGGUAAUGGCUCACCAAGGCGAUGAUACGUAGCCGAACUGAGAGGUUGAUCGGCCACAUUGGGACUGAGACACGGCCCAAACUCCUACGGGAGGCAGCAGUAGGGAAUCUUCCACAAUGGACGCAAGUCUGAUGGAGCAACGCCGCGUGAGUGAAGAAGGCUUUCGGGUCGUAAAACUCUGUUGUUGGAGAAGAAUGGUCGGCAGAGUAACUGUUGUCGGCGUGACGGUAUCCAACCAGAAAGCCACGGCUAACUACGUGCCAGCAGCCGCGGUAAUACGUAGGUGGCAAGCGUUAUCCGGAUUUAUUGGGCGUAAAGCGAGCGCAGGCGGUUUUUUAAGUCUGAUGUGAAAGCCCUCGGCUUAACCGAGGAAGCGCAUCGGAAACUGGGAAACUUGAGUGCAGAAGAGGACAGUGGAACUCCAUGUGUAGCGGUGAAAUGCGUAGAUAUAUGGAAGAACACCAGUGGCGAAGGCGGCUGUCUGGUCUGUAACUGACGCUGAGGCUCGAAAGCAUGGGUAGCGAACAGGAUUAGAUACCCUGGUAGUCCAUGCCGUAAACGAUGAAUGCUAGGUGUUGGAGGGUUUCCGCCCUUCAGUGCCGCAGCUAACGCAUUAAGCAUUCCGCCUGGGGAGUACGACCGCAAGGUUGAAACUCAAAGGAAUUGACGGGGGCCCGCACAAGCGGUGGAGCAUG
rnacentral:rRNA from 1 species